CUACGGAGGGGGCAAGCGUUGUUCGGAAUUACUGGGCGUAAAGGGCGCGCAGGCUGUUUUGUUAGUCAGGCGUGAAAUCCCCGGGCUCAACCCGGGAACUGCGUUUGAUACUGCGAAACUAGAGUUCGGGAGAGGGUAGUGGAAUUCCCAGUGUAGAGGUGAAAUUCGUAGAUAUUGGGAAGAACACCAGUGGCGAAGGCGGCUACCUGGACCGAUACUGACGCUGAGGCGCGAAAGCGUGGGGAGCAAACAGGAUUAGAAACCCUAGUAGUCC
rnacentral:rRNA from 1 species